GGGGGCGUUUAUGGAUUCGACGGGGGUAGAUCGAGCAUGGGUAGCGGGUAGUGGGGACGCGUCCGCUUCAUCAACGCUAAAGCCUAUUAAACGGCAAACAAAACAACAACUUAGCUUUCGCAGCUUAAUAACCUGUGAGCUAGCUCUACCUCUGCAUCGCCCAUGUGCCGAGACUAGGGCCCAACUUUAGUGGGAUACGCCGAUCGGUCUCCGCCUGGGGUCGACGGAAGAAGAUAAUCAGGCUGACCCGAAGGGAAUCCGGUGACAGGGAGUCUCUAGGGUGACAUCAAAACUGUCACUACACCCGUAGAAGCCUAUGUGGCGUUGCCUUCGGACAGGGGUUCGACUCCCCUCGCCUCCA
rnacentral:tmRNA from 1 species